rnacentral:rRNA from 1 species
AUUGAACGCUGGCGGAAUGCUUUACACAUGCAAGUCGAACGGCAGCACGGGUGCUUGCAUCUGGUGGCGAGUGGCGAACGGGUGAGUAAUACAUCGGAACGUACCCAGUCGUGGGGGAUAACGUAGCGAAAGUUACGCUAAUACCGCAUACGUCCUGAGGGAGAAAGCGGGGGACCGUAAGGCCUCGCGCGAUUGGAGCGGCCGAUGGCGGAUUAGAUAGUUGGUGGGGUAAAGGCCUACCAAGGCGACGAUCCGUAGCGGGUCUGAGAGGACGGCCCGCCACACUGGAACUGAGACACGGUCCAGACUCCUACGGGAGGCAGCAGUGGGGAAUUUUGGACAAUGGGCGAAAGCCUGAUCCAGCCAUUCCGCGUGAGUGAAGGAGGCCUUCAGGUUGUAAAGCUCUUUCGGCAGGGAAGAAACGGCUUGGGAUAAUACCCCGGGCUAAUGACGGUACCUGAAGAAGAAGCACCGGCUAACUACGUGCCAGCCGCCGCCGUAA